rnacentral:rRNA from 1 species
UACAGAGGGUGCAAGCGUUGUUCGGAAUUACUGGGCGUAAAGGGCUCGUAGGCGGCCAACUAAGUCAGACGUGAAAUCCCUCGGCUUAACCGGGGAACUGCCUCUGAUACUGGAUGGCUUGAGAUUGGGAGAGGGAUGCGGAAUUCCAGGUGUAGCGGUGAAAUGCUUAGAUAUGACAUAGAACACCAAUUGCGAAGGCAGCUGGCUACAGGGAUAUUGACACUGAGGCACGAAAGCGUGGGGAUCAAACAGG